CUCAUAAGUUUGUAGAGGAGGGGGGAGCAGGGAGGGGACUUGAGCAUAUAUAUGGUGACCAGUCAGCAGCAGUACAAGGGAUUUACUGUGUGACAAGAGCUGCUCAGCUGGAUCAAUAUGUCCUCUAUCCUGGAUAUUCACACUCUCUAUCAGAACUUGCGCAACCUGGAUCUUUCAGAAGAUCUUGAUUCCCCUAGAGAAGGGAAAUUACUUAGUGCUCAACGAAGACAUUCCUGUACCCCUGACAUUGAUGAUCUGUUCAAGCCCUCAAGUGAUUCCUGGAACUUUGACCUUCCACGAACCCCAUUCAGAAGUGACCGUUCCAUAAGCCUGACAGAGGGACCACGGUUGGCAUUUCCUGCUCCCCCACCUGGUUUUCCACCCCUCAAGGCUGCUCUUCCUGCAUUACCUACCCUCUCUCCUCGCUACAAAACAGAACUGUGUCGUACAUACUCUGAAACAGGCACCUGCAAAUACGGAGCCAAGUGCCAGUUUGCCCAUGGCAAGAUAGAGCUUCGAGAGCAAAACCGUCACCCAAAAUAUAAGACCGAGCUAUGCCACAAGUUCUACCUGUAUGGAGAGUGUCCAUAUGGACCACGUUGCAACUUCAUCCACCACCCCAGAGAGCAAGGAACCUCCCAGCACAUGUUGCGUCAAAGCAUCAGCUAUUCUGGUGUGCCAACCAGGAGAAGUUCUCCACCCCCACCUGGAUUAUCAGAUCCUGCUGCCUUCUCCAGAGCACCUUCAGUUUCCCCUCCACCAUCAUCUGACCUGAUCUUUUCUCCAAUCCCCACCGAGGCACGAAGCCAUGUGUCUUCACUGAGAUCAGCUGAUUCUUACUCACACUGUUGCUCAUGUCGCUGCUCCAGAGCAGGAACAAUCAACCAAGAUCUUUUGUCUACCCAAAUGCUCCUGCGCUCACCAUCAUGCAGCUCCCUGCCAGAAACAGAAUGCUACAGCAGUGGAUCUGAAUCUCCAGUCUUUGAGCAGUCUUAUCAGUCACCACCUCCACCUAAUAAGAGACUACCAAUCUUCAACAGGUUGUCCGUGUCAGAUUGAAACAGGGAAAUAUCCUAACCUAGCAGCAGUUGGGGGGGAUACAGUUUUCUUAUUAAAUCGCACUAACACAAUCAUGUCCUUAGAUAGCAACAAGGUACUCUGAGACUUAUGUCUCUGGCAGACAAGUUAGAGACUUCAGGGAACUUCCCAGAUUUACCUUGAGAUGUUCUCAGGAUAAGAGAAACCAGCAUAGCACCUUCUUGCCAAUACUUCAGAGAGAACUUAUUUCUGUCUCUGUAGUCAAUGUGUCUUUGCGUGUGAUUGAAGGAAAACUAUAGCCCAAACACCAGCUGCUUCUAUAUGAAUAAGUAUUUUGCUACAUGCAUUUAUGGAAGUGGCUCUUCACCUCCUACUACAAUUAUAGUGUAAAACACGGGCAUAAAUCAUAAAUUUGCUAGUGCAAAAGAAAACUGUUCCUGCUCAACAUGUUAAAGGUUUCACAUAGAUUCUUCUUUUUUUUUUAAUAAUAUUUGCUAUAUUCUACAAAAACACCAAUAUAUACACAUAUUUUUAUAUAUAAUGCUUUUUCACAUAGGAGCAUCAUGUGCCUAAGCUAUAGUUUUCCCUUAACUUCUUUUCUAGAAUAUGCAUGAAACCCCUGCAGAAGGGGCGUCCCUGUGUCUCAGAACUGAAAGAUAUUUAUUAUAGUUAUUAUGAAUAUUGUUCAAGGGCCUUCGUCUUUUGAAUGUGCAAGUGCCCUGAAUUAUGUAGCAGAACAAGGUACAAUGUGCAGGCCUCCAGUUUCACCCUGUGUCUCGGCUGGUUCCAAACAUACGGAAAUGUCACUUGGUCUGGUCCUGUAGAUGUGCCCUGGAAACUCCACCCAACCCCAGAAUUCCUAUCCCAUUGCAGAAGGAAGUACUGGAAUGUGUAGCCUAAAUGACCUGAGCCUCUGCUCAGUAUAGCCCAGGCCCGGACUGGCAAUCGGUGGGUUCUGGCAAAUGCCAGAGGGGCUGCUAUAAGGUCCCAUAGAAAGUCAGUAUUUAGUGGGCUGGCGGGGGCUGUUUGGGCCUCUAUGUGGAUGAUUGGGCCUCUGUGUACCUGAAAUGCCAGGGCCUAUUUUAAUUCUCAGUCCGGACCUGGUAUAGCCCACGGUUUCAUUUACCACUUUACAUAUAAUACACAAGCACUUGUUGUAGAUAAAUUCUUAUCUGAAUGUAGCGUGGACACACAGUAAUAAGUGAAUAAUAGUACAGACACCUCCACUCAUUAAUAGAAGAUAUACUCUUCUCUAUGAAAACCAAAGAUACAUGCUCCUCUAACAGAUAUAUACUACUCUACGUAAAAUCCAGAGAUAUAUAGUUUAUAAACUCCAUUGUAUCAGUAGAUAUGGAAUAUACAGCUCUGUCUAUAAUAAUCCAAUUUAUACACAUACAUGGUGCAGGGCUAGGCGCGCAUUGCAGUACUUCCUAGCAGCAAAGGCUCAUUCCUAAAAAUGUGUGUCCUACCUCACAGUUACACUGACAGCUCCUUCCUGGCAAUCAAGGAGUUAAAAAUCAGGCACAAACAGGAAAUGUAGAGAACAGGGAAAUUUUAUCAGAUACUGAUACUAUAACCUGAUACUAAUUCAUACCUUGAUCUUUAACCUUAAAGUGUGCUUCUUCUAACGUGUAUUCCUCUAUUUAUAUCAUAUUUAUUAUUUUUUUUAAAAAAGAAAAGGAAAAAUAUAUUUAUCAUUUUUUUUUUUAUUAUGUUGUAAAUAAUAUCUAUUUGUCAACAUUUGCAAUGAGUUUAUAAUCGGAAAUAAAGAGAUUUGCAUACAAA